rnacentral:lncRNA from 1 species
UUUUUAUGCCCCACCUACGAUAGUAGAGGGGCAUUAUGUUUUCUGGUCUGUGCGUCCGUUCGUUCGUCCGUCCGUUCGUUCGUCCGUCCGUCCGUCCGUCCGUCCGUCUGUCCCGCUUCAGGUUAAAGUUUUUGGUCGAGGUAGUUUUUGAUGAAGUUGAAGUCCAAUCAACUUUAAACUUGGUACACAUGUUCCCUAUGAUAUGAUCUUUCUAAUUUUAAUGCCAAAUUAGAGAUUUUACCCCAAUUUCACGGUCCACUGAACAUAGAAAAUGAUAGUGCAAGUGGGGCA